UACGGAGGGGGCUAGCGUUGUUCGGAAUUACUGGGCGUAAAGCGCACGUAGGCGGCUUUGUAAGUUAGAGGUGAAAGCCCGGGGCUCAACUCCGGAAUUGCCUUUAAGACUGCAUCGCUAGAAUUGUGGAGAGGUAAGUGGAAUUCCGAGUGUAGAGGUGAAAUGCGUAGAGAUCGGGAGGAACACCAGUGGCGAAGGCGGCUACCUGGACCAGCACUGACGCUGAGGCACGAAAGCGUGGGGAGCAAACAGG
rnacentral:rRNA from 1 species